GUUGCGCGAGGGCAAAGGCGUCUAUACUUCCUCAGAGGUUUGCUAGACAUUCGAUCCACUCCAUGCGCAUUCUAUUUUCCCCAAAAUUGCUUUGGGCAUUUUCGUGUUCCCUCUCAGAUGCAAACCCUUCUGUUUCACCUACCCUCAGUUUCAUUAUCAAAUUUUCACUUGGUCCUAUCAAUAAGCAAUUUUCUACUCUUUCCACCUCGGUGCAUCGACCAUCACUGUUCUCUCAUCACUCAGCAAAGCCCUAAUCUUCUUCCCUGCCAUCUAAAAUCCGGAGUCUAAUAGCUGAGGAGUGGAAUCCUUAGUCAAUCAAAGAUAAAAAUUCAGGUGGAGUUUAUGUUUUGAAUUGGUUUUUGUGUAAAUUUCUUUCUUGUUGAUGAUUUCAGAUCACUAGAUCUUAAUCUAUCUCUAAGUCAGUUAAGGUUUCAAAGAACACUCGAAGAUAGUUUCCCUCUCUCUUUCUCUCUCUCACAUGACCGAUCUCAUCUUUACCCAAGACUCAAUUGGUCUCUGCUGUGGUUCUUCGUCUCGCUUAGAUUGAUAGUGAGGGAGGUUGUUGAUCGGCAUAGACAGGUCUCAAUUUCCAUUUGUUUCCAGCUUGGAGGCAUAAAAGAAUUAGAGUCAAGGGGAAGAGUAACAUUUGGGUCUAGGUUUUGACCAGUGUAAACUUCACCAAGAGUGCUGCAACGUAGAAUGCCAAAUUUGAGUUAACUGAAACAGGUGGUUACAUGGACCACUGAAGCUAUGUGACGCACCAGGAAUAAGAGGUGCCUACGGGUGUAUGUCAAUAAGGAUAUAGGCAUUGAAAAAGGGAACAUUUACAAUCAUUUUGUAAGUGAUGCAACUGGAGGAGCAACUGUUAUGCAAACAGAGAUAGGUACUCCAGCUGAUCCCUUCCCAGCAAGCAUUGCAUGAUUGGUUCUUAGAGAAAGUGAAAAAGGUUGUUUCUUGCUCUUGUGUUGUUGUAAAAGUGUCACAAGGCACUGUGAUUGCUAGAGGUCCAUGUGGAACUGUAUACCAUGGUCUGUGGGAUGGAUCAGUACUUCUACGCAUCAAUGUUAGCUUCAUGAGUAUUAAAAACUAAAAAGGCCUUAAGGAAAUUGCAAAAGAAUGCUCAAAAGAAGAGAAGGCAUCAUGAUGUGGUUCGAGCUGAAUGGGCAAAUCAUGUUAUACAGUUUGAAUUUUGGUUCUGUUUAAGGUAGAUGAGUAGCACUUUGAACUAUUUUUGUGCAUUCAUAUAUAACUGAUGGAAAGUGUUGAUGAACUUAAAUUAUGCAUGCAGUUGCUCUGUCUAGCUACUCUUUCUUUACCUUAUAGGUUUUUGACUUGGUGCACUAGGUAAAUGAUCGAGAUAAGAUGGUUUUUUGGUUCUCUUGAUCAUAAUGUAACUGUUGGCUAGGUUUAGAGUUGGAACUAUGGAUUGUAUUUUGGAUGAUGUUGAUGCAAUUAAUGAAACGAAGCCAUCAUUUUCAAUGCUGAUUUUAGUCCAA